AUGACUAUGGCGAAAUAGGUAGACGCGAUUAAUUUAGGAUUAAUUAUUAUAAAGGUUCAAAUCCUUUUAGUCAUAU
rnacentral:tRNA from 1 species